CGAGCGCGUUAAUCGAUCGCUCGAAACUAUCGAACUGUGAAGCUACUAUUAUAGGAAUUAAAGGAAAUCUUUAUAUGCUGUUCCAAUUUUCACGGCGAAAUAAAGGGUAAUAUAAAAGAAAGAGACAGUGAAAAAUGCAAGCUAGAAUAGAUAAAAUAAGCGGAUACGUAAGAGUCUCAAGUAAGAAAAAGACACUAGAUUUCUCUCGAUCGACAUCGAUCGGCUUCCUUCUGUACUCGACUCAUUGCUCCAUUCUUACCACUAAAAACCAGCUGCUCGCCUAAAUCAAUACCUAUAUAUCGUGCAAUCUGAAACUAUCUAUAAAACCAGGAAAAGAGAGAGA